rnacentral:lncRNA from 1 species
ACGGAUGACGGCGACGACGGCGGUGAUCAGAGGGCGUCGCGCGCGCACGGACAAAACAGUGGAGGUCGUACGGACGUGGAGGGGAGAGGGAUCGAGCGGGAGAGAGGUGAUCGGGUUGGGGGUGUUCGUCCGGAAUGAAAAGAAAAAGACCUAAUUAAAUUAGGGAUUAAUUAGACAACAAUAUGCUGCCGAGUCCCUCAAAGAUUUGAAAUAACGAAAAGGUCUAAACUUAAUAGGAUGGU